rnacentral:lncRNA from 1 species
ACAUAAGAGAACCCUCCUGAACUACUGAUGAGUCAAGGGCAGCCUUCAUGCAAGAACAACUCAAUCAGCCAUUCCAGGUGGGUAGCAAGGAAGGACAAUGUCUUGAUCUCUAAGGAGUUAUUAAAAGAUGGAGGAAGGAAAAAGACAUGAAGUUAGGAAGCCUUCAGCAGGAAGCAGGAAAAAGGAACUUGUCUCCAUGAGUUAGUGACAGACCAUGGCACUAAACAUGAGAAAAAACAUCUUGCUGAAUGAAGCACAGAGGUUUCAAACUGGUGGAUCCAGAGCAGAAUAGAAGGAUCUCCAAUUCCUCUUCAGAUCAGAGUUAUACUCCUGUCCUCAACACAUUCCCUGAAGAAGAAAUUUCUCAUUUCCUCUUGAAGAAAUGGGGGUGCCUCUAUACAAACAAGAAUGCCUCAAUCCUGACUUGCUUUCUAGACACUUAUCUUGAUAAUGAAAAUGCCACUGUCUCUACUCCUUCAGAGAAGUGGCCACCAAUACAUUCAAAUGAGAUGAGCAAUAUAUUGAAAGAACUAGUAAAACAUGUUAACAGUGAAUUCAAAUAAAAAUAUCUUUAUAAGAAAAA